AAAUGAAAAUAUUAUAGAGUAUAACCACAUAGAUUGGUAUAAAUGAGAAUAUUAUAGAGUAUAGCCACAUAGAUUGGCAAAUAAUGAGUUAUAGAAUUGUAAAAAGAUAGAUACCGGUAUUGUAAAUAUAGUGUAUAUCAUGUAUUUUUAUUGUAAUACUAGCUAGUAUGUUUUUGUUUUAUUUUUAUUUUUGUAUGUAACAUUUUUGUUUUAAAGAGGCAUAUUAAUGAUCAAUGAUUUAAACCCUUUGGAGUUGGACUGGUCAUUCAACUCCACACCCUGCACUUGUAUAGGGCCGACCACCUUAUACAAGGAGCAUACAGCAUAAAAUUUUAUUUGUUUUUAUGUAAUUUUCAGUUUAGAAUUUUUCUUUGCAUAUGUCUUUUCUUAUUUCUUAUUUUCAUUAGUCUUGCUUUUCAUAUCUUAUCUGGCA
rnacentral:lncRNA from 1 species